rnacentral:rRNA from 1 species
UACGGGAGGCAGCAGUGGGGAAUAUUGCACAAUGGGCGAAAGCCUGAUGCAGCUAUGCCGCGUGUAUGAAGAGGGCCUUAGGGUUGUAAAGUACUUUCAUCGGGGAGGAAAAACAAAACUAAUAAUUUUAUUUCUUGACGUUACCCGAAAAAGAAGCACCGGCUAACUCCGUGCCAGCAGCCGCGGUAAUACGGAGGGUGCUAGCGUUAAUCAGAAUUACUGGGCGUAAAGAGCACGUAGGUGGUUUUUUUAAGUCAGAUGUGAAAUCCCUGGGCUUAACCUAGGAACUGCAUUUUGAAACUGAAAUACUAGAGUAUCGUAGAGGGAGGUAGAAUUCUAGGUGUAGCGGUGAAAUGCGUAGAUAUCUGGAGGAAUACCUGUGGCGAAAGCGGCCUCCUAAACGAAUACUGACACUGAGGUGCGAAAGCGUGGGGAGCGAAACAGGGAUUAGAUACC